GUGAGUAACGCGUAUCCAACCUUCCGUACACUCAGGGAUAGCCUUUCGAAAGAAAGAUUAAUACCUGAUGGUAUGAUGAGAUUGCAUGAUAGCAUCAUUAAAGAUUUAUCGGUGUACGAUGGGGAUGCGUUCCAUUAGGUAGUAGGCGGGGUAACGGCCCACCUAGCCAACGAUGGAUAGGGGUUCUGAGAGGAAGGUCCCCCACAUUGGAACUGAGACACGGUCCAAACUCCUACGGGAGGCAGCAGUGAGGAAUAUUGGUCAAUGGACGAGAGUCUGAACCAGCCAAGUAGCGUGAAGGAUGAAGGUCCCACGGAUUGUAAACUUCUUUUAUAAGGGAAUAAACCCUCCCACGUGUGGGAGCUUGUAUGUACCUUAUGAAUAAGCAUCGGCUAACUCCGUGCCAGCAGCCGCGGUAAUACGGAGGAUGCGAGCGUUAUCCGGAUUUAUUGGGUUUAGAGGGAGCGCAGACGGGUCGUUAAGUCAGCUGUGAAAGUUUGGGGCUCAACCUUAAAAUUGCAGUUGAUACUGGCGUCCUUGAGUGCGGUUGAGGUGUGCGGAAUUCGUGGUGUAGCGGUGAAAUGCUUAGAUAUCACGAAGAACUCCGAUUGCGAAGGCAGCACACUAAUCCGUAACUG
rnacentral:rRNA from 1 species